rnacentral:rRNA from 1 species
GACGAACGCUGGCGGCGUGCUUAACACAUGCAAGUCGAACGAAGAGCGAUGGAAGCUUGCUUCUAUCAAUCUUAGUGGCGAACGGGUGAGUAACGCGUAAUCAACCUGCCCUUCAGAGGGGGACAACAGUUGGAAACGACUGCUAAUACCGCAUACGAUCUAAUCUCGGCAUCGAGGAUAGAUGAAAGGUGGCCUCUACAUGUAAGCUAUCACUGAAGGAGGGGAUUGCGUCUGAUUAGCUAGUUGGAGGGGUAACGGCCCACCAAGGCGAUGAUCAGUAGCCGGUCUGAGAGGAUGAACGGCCACAUUGGGACUGAGACACGGCCCAGACUCCUACGGGAGGCAGCAGUGGGGAAUCUUCCGCAAUGGACGAAAGUCUGACGGAGCAACGCCGCGUGAGUGAUGACGGCCUUCGGGUUGUAAAGCUCUGUUAAUCGGGACGAAUGGCCUUCUUGCGAAUAGUGAGAAGGAUUGACGGUACCGGAAUAGAAAGCCACGGCUAACUACGUG